AUUGAACGCUGGCGGCAGGCCUAACACAUGCAAGUCGGACGGUAGCACAGAGAGCUUGCUCUCGGGUGACGAGUGGCGGACGGGUGAGUAAUGUCUGGGGAUCUGCCCGAUAGAGGGGGAUAACCACUGGAAACGGUGGCUAAUACCGCAUAACGUCGCAAGACCAAAGAGGGGGACCUUCGGGCCUCCCACUAUCGGAUGAACCCAGAUGGGAUUAGCUAGUAGGCGGGGUAACGGCCCACCUAGGCGACGAUCCCUAGCUGGUCUGAGAGGAUGACCAGCCACACUGGAACUGAGACACGGUCCAGACUCCUACGGGAGGCAGCGGUGGGGAAUAUUGCACAAUGGGCGCAAGCCUGAUGCAGCCAUGCCGCGUGUAUGAAGAAGGCCUUCGGGUUGUAAAGUACUUUCAGCGGGGAGGAAGGCGAUGUGGUUAAUAACCGCAUUGAUUGACGUUACCCGCAGAAGAAGCACCGGCUAACUCCGUGCCAGCAGCCGCGGUAA
rnacentral:rRNA from 1 species